UACGGAGGGUGCGAGCGUUAAUCGGAAUCACUGGGCGUAAAGCGCGCGUAGGCGGCUUUUCAAGUCAGGGGUGAAAUCCCACGGCCCAACCGUGGAACUGCCUUUGAAACUGUAGAGCUUGAGUGUCGGAGAGGGGGGCGGAAUUCCAGGUGUAGGAGUGAAAUCCGUAGAUAUCUGGAGGAACACCGGUGGCGAAGGCGGCCACCUGGACGACAACUGACGCUGAGGUGCGAAAGCGUGGGUAGCAAACAGG
rnacentral:rRNA from 1 species